UGGAACGACAACUAAUACCGUAUACGCCCUAUGGGGGAAAGAUUUAUUGCUAUUAGAUGAGCCUAUAUUAGAUUAGCUAGUUGGUAAGGUAAUAGCUUACCAAGGCUAUGAUCUAUAGCUGAUCUGAGAGGAUGAUCAGCCACACUGGAACUGAGAUACGGUCCAGACUCCUACGGGAGGCAGCAGUGGGGAAUAUUGGACAAUGAGCGAAAGCUUGAUCCAGCCAUGCCGCAUGAGUGAAGAAGGCCUUUGGGUUGUAAAGCUCUUUCAGUGAGGAAGAUAAUGACGGUACUCACAGAAGAAGUCCUGGCUAACUCCGUGCCAGCAGCCGCGGUAAUACGGAGAGGGCUAGCGUUAUUCGGAAUUAUUGGGCGUAAAGAGCACGUAGGCUGAUUAAUAAGUUAAAAGUGAAAUUCCAAAGCUCAACUUUGGAAUUGCUUUUAAAACUGUUAAUCUAGAGGUUGAAAGAGGAUAGAGGAAUUCCUAGUGUAGAGGUGAAAUUCGUAAAUAUUAGGAAGAACACCAGUGGCGAAGGCGUCUAUCUGGUUCAAAUCUGACGCUGAGGUGCGAAGGCGUGGGGAGCAAACAGGAUUAGAUACCCUGGUAGUCCACGCUGUAAACGAUGAAUGUUAAAUAUGGGAAGAGUUUCUUUCUGUAUUACAGCUAACGCGUUAAACAUUCCGCCUGGGGACUACGGUCGCAAGAUUAAAACUCAAAGGAAUUGACGGGGACCUGCACAAGCGGUGGAGCAUGUGGUUUAAUUCGAUGCAACGCGAAAAACCUUACCACUCCUUGACAUGGAAAUUAUACCUAUUCGAAGGGAUAGGAUCGGUUUUACCGGAUUUCACACAGGUGUUGCAUGGCUGUCGUC
rnacentral:rRNA from 1 species